rnacentral:lncRNA from 1 species
GCUCCUUUUUUUCCAUAACUGCUUCUGUGUAGAUACCGAGUUUGUGCCAUCAUCAUUUUCCUGUCCAUAAAUGCUGUCAUCAUUCUCGAAGUUGUCAGCGUCCUCAAAAACCUAUGUCAUUGAGCUGCCAACAUCCCCCCUUCCCCGCUUCUUUGAACUGUUGAAUGCCUUACCAGGUAUAUAGUUAGUGCCAUGAGUUUGUUUAAGAACUUCAGUUCCAGUUGGUGGAAUAGGUGCAGAUCGCAACUCUAUGGUACCAUCAAACUGAUUAUUCUGAUGUCGAAAUGGAUGAUUUGCUUCUAACCAUCUUCGAUGACCCAUAUAACAGAAUUUUUCUCCAUGUUUUAACCAAUAUGAAUGAGUUGAAUCUCCACAAGAAGGGCAUGCAAUACGCCCCUUAGUG